GAUGAAGAACGCAGCGAAAUGCGAUACGUAAUGUGAAUUGCAGAAUUCAGUGAAUCAUCGAAUCUUUGAACGCAUAUUGCGCUCUCUGGUAUUCCGGAGAGCAUGCUUGUUUGAGUAUCAGUAAACACCUCAACUCCCUUUUCUUUUUUGAAAUUGGAGCUGGACUUGAGUGAUCCCAACGCUUUCUUCCAAGAAAGUGGCGGGUUGCUUGAAAUGCAGGUGCAGCUGAACUUUUCUCUGAGCUAUAAGCAUAUCUAUUUAGUCUGCCUAAAAAACAGAUUAUUACCUUUGCUGCAGCUAACAUAAAGGAGACUAGUUCUUGUGCUGACUGAUGCAGGAUUCACAGAGACAGCUUCGGCUGACUUUGUAAACUCGAUCUCAAAUCAAGUAAGACUACCCGCUGAACUUAAGCAUAUAAUAAGCGGAGGA
rnacentral:misc_RNA from 1 species